rnacentral:lncRNA from 1 species
CAUAGCCAGGGUGACACCUCCUUUUUGCACCAAUUCAGACAGGCUCUAGGACCUAACCAACCAACCAAACAUUAGCCGUCUGCAUACAUCUAUCACGGUCUGUGAAGACAUGCGAUGUAGUUUCUGAUUUUAAAAAACAAGGAGCAACGUGAUACAAGACAGACAACACGUCUACAGCAAGCGGCACCACAUACGGAUUUGGUCAAGCACAUAGCAUAUCAUCCUCUAGAAAUCAUCGCAAUACAGUUAUUGUCAACUUCAGGAUGCCUUCCAUGCCUAGAGCAUAUUGUCUAAAGAAGCUGAGGAGGCCAUGUGGUGAACUGGUGAUCAUGAUAAUGAAUAGCAAAAUCAGCAUCACUAGUUCAGAUCAGCAGCUUAAUUUGGCAGAGGAAGCUUGUUACUAGCAACCAUAUAUAUGAUGGAAGUAUUAUUUGGG